CAGAAAUGUAGUGUGUGUGUAGGUGGUGCCACGUCUGUGUGUAGGGGAUUUAGUGUGUGUGUGUGUGUGUGUGAGUGGUGCAGCAUGUUUGGGGGCUGCUGUGUGUGUGAGGGGUGUAGUGUGCAUUUGUGAGGAGUAUAGUGUGUGUGGGAAGGUGCUGUGUGUGUGUGGGGGGUGCAGUAUGUGUGUAUGAGUGUGCAGUAUGUGUGUCUGAGGGCACUGUGUGUGUGUCUAAGGGCGCUGUGUGUGUGGGCGCUAUGUGUUAGGGUGCUGUGUGUGUGUUAAGGUGCUGUGUGUGUGUUAGGGUUCUGUGAGUGAGGGUGCUGUGUGAGUGAGGGUGCUGUGUGAGUAUGUUAGGGUGCUGUGUGAGUGAGGGUGCUGUGUGAGUAUGUUAGGGUGCUGUGUGAGUGUUAGGGUGCUGUGAGAGUGUUAGGGUGCUGUGUGUGUGUUAGUGUGCUGUGAGUGUUAGGGUGCUGUGUGUGUAUGUUAGGGUGCUGUGUGAGUGUUAGGGUGCUGUGUGAGUAUGUUAGGGUGCUGUGUGUGUUAGGGUGCUGUGUGAGUGUUAGGGUGCUGUGUGAGUGUUAGGGUUCUGUGUGUUUGUUAGGGUGCUGUGUGAGUGUUAGGGGGCUGUGUGAGUGUUAGAGUGCUGUGUGUGUUAGGGUGCUGUGUGUGUUAGGGUGCUGUGUGAGUGUUAGGGUGCUGUGUGAGUAUGUUAGGGUGCUGUGUGUGUAUGUUAGGGUGCUGUGUGAGUGUUAGGGUGCUGUGUGAGUAUGUUAGGGUGCUGUGUGUGUGUUAGGGUGCUGUGUGAGUAUGUUAGGGUGCUGUGUGAGUAUGUUAGGGUGCUGUGUGAGUGUUAGGGUGCUGUGUGAGUUAGGGUGCAUUGUGAGUGUUAGGGUUCUGUGUGUUUGUUAGGGUGCUGUGUGUGUGUUAGGGUGCUGUGUGUGUGUUAGGGUGCUG